AUAAAAACAUCUACAAUAAAAAUAAUCACUCUUGACUUCCUUUGUAGUCAAUGGAGAGAAACAAACAUUUGUGGAGUGUGACUCACCUCAUUCCAAAGUAGGUGUCUAAACUAGUUUGGGUGAAUCAUGUUGUAAAAAUGCCUAAUUCUCUACAUAAUGAGAGCCUCUGGUGACAACUUCAGAUAUAGUUUACUGCACUGUAGAAACCCUCAUCCAAAGGGAGAUGAAUAGAUUUUCUUCUUAGGAGAUCCUAAGAGUAGAUAAACUACCACUUUAGUCCGGACCAUCACCAACAACUGAUGCCUGAGACAACAUACUUAAAGAAAAAUGCAAGAACAAGAAGUCACAUCUGACCCUGUGUAUGUACAGCUGAUCUCUACAGUAAAGAGAAUGGAACAAAUCUCAACCUCCAGGUUGGGAAGAAGAAGUGGACAGGAGAGUAUUUUGUGGUAUUUUUACUGGCCUGACUGAAGCUGAGGAGGUAUUAGAGGUAAUCUCAUGAGAAAGUUCGACCUUGCAAGAUUUCCGAUUGUUUUCCAGAGCCAAGAGAUUCAGAUACAUUUGGAUAGACUUUGAAUAAACAUCCAACUCUUUGCAUGCUUGCCUUAACUGAAGAUCC
rnacentral:lncRNA from 1 species